CAUGCAAGUCGAGCGGAACGACAGAGGUUUACCUCUGGGCGUCGAGCGGCGAACGGGUGAGUAACGCGUAGGAAUCUGCCCGAUAGCGGGGGAUAGCCCGGGGAAACCCGGAUUAAUACCGCAUACGCCCCACGGGGGAAAGACCGGGAUCUUCGGACCGGUCGCUAUCGGAGGAGCCUGCGUUGGAUUAGCUUGUUGGUAGGGUAACGGCCUACCAAGGCAACGAUCCAUAGCUGGUCUGAGAGGAUGAUCAGCCACACUGGGACUGAGACACGGCCCAGACUUCUACGGGAGGCAGCAGUCGGGAAUAUUGGACAAUGGGGGAAACCCUGAUCCAGCCAUGCCGCGUGUGUGAAGAAGGCCUUCGGGUUGUAAAGCACUUUCAGUAGUGAGGAAGGGGCCUGGGUGAAUACCCCGGGCUUUUGACGUUAGCUACAGAAGCAGCACCGGCUAACUCCGUGCCAGCAGCCGCGGUAAUACGGAGGGUGCGAGCGUUAAUCGGAAUUACUGGGCGUAAAGCGCGCGUAGGCGGUCUGGUAAGUCGGAUGUGAAAGCCCAGGGCUUAACCUUGGAACUGCAUUCGAUACUGUCAGGCUAGAGUAUGGUAGAGGGAGGUAGAAUUCCACGUGUAGCGGUGAAAUGCGUAGAGAUGUGGAGGAAUACCGGUGGCGAAGGCGGCCUCCUGGACCAAUACUGACG
rnacentral:rRNA from 1 species